UCGAUGAAGAACGCAGCGAAAUGCGAUAAGUAAUGUGAAUUGCAGAAUUUCAGUGAAUCAUCGAAUCUUUGAACGCACCUUGCGCUCCUUGGUAUUCCGAGGAGCAUGCCUGUUUGAGUGUCAUUAAAUUCUCAACCUUUAUCAACUUUUGUUGAUAAUGGCUUGGAUAUGGGGGUUAUUUUGCUGGCUUCUUUACAGAUGGUCAGCUCCCCUUAAAUGCAUUAGCCGGUGCCCCGCGUGGACUGUCUAUUGGUGUGAUAAUUAUCUACGCCGUGGACAUCUGCAAUCAUAUGGGUUUGCACUGCUUCCAACUGUCUGUUGAAUCAGACAAUACAUGACAAUUUGACCUCAAAUCAGGUAGGACUACCCGCUGAACUUAA
rnacentral:rRNA from 1 species